rnacentral:rRNA from 1 species
CCGGAGCUUGCUCCACCGGAAAAAGAGGAGUGGCGAACGGGUGAGUAACACGUGGGUAACCUGCCCAUCAGAAGGGGAUAACACUUGGAAACAGGUGCUAAUACCGUAUAACAAUCGAAACCGCAUGGUUUUGAUUUGAAAGGCGCUUUCGGGUGUCGCUGAUGGAUGGACCCGCGGUGCAUUAGCUAGUUGGUGAGGUAACGGCUCACCAAGGCCACGAUGCAUAGCCGACCUGAGAGGGUGAUCGGCCACAUUGGGACUGAGACACGGCCCAAACUCCUACGGGAGGCAGCAGUAGGGAAUCUUCGGCAAUGGACGAAAGUCUGACCGAGCAACGCCGCGUGAGUGAAGAAGGUUUUCGGAUCGUAAAACUCUGUUGUUAGAGAAGAACAAGGAUGAGAGUAACUGUUCAGUCCCUUGACGGUAUCUAACCAGAAAGCCAGCGGCUAACUACGUGCCAGCGAGCCGCGGUAAUACGUAGUGGCAAGCGUUGUCCGGAUUUAUUGGGCGUAAAGCGAGCGCAGGCGGUUUCUUAAGUCUGAUGUGAAAGCCCCCGGCUCAACCGGGGAGGGUCAUUGGAAACUGGGAGACUUGAGUGCA